rnacentral:rRNA from 1 species
CGUAACGCGUAUGCAAUCUACCUUUCACAGCGGGAUAGCCCAGAGAAAUUUGGAUUAAUACCUCAUAGUAUAGUACCUUGGCAUCAAGGAAUUAUUAAAGAUUUAUCGGUGAAAGAUGAGCAUGCGUCCCAUUAGCUAGUUGGUAUGGUAACGGCAUACCAAGGCUACGAUGGGUAGGGGUCCUGAGAGGGAGAUCCCCCACACUGGUACUGAGACACGGACCAGACUCC